AGGUGGUUUGCUAUCAUGGAAAUCCAGUUGUUCGUUGUGCUGUUCCUGUACAGAUAUGAAUUUGUGCUUUUGGAUGCAAUACCAAAGGAGAGCCCUUUACACUUGGUGGGGACCCAGCAACCCAUGGCACCGUUCCGGAUCCAGUAUAAAUCCCGGGACUGAAAGCUGCCCAGCUCUAACUGACCUUCCUUUGCCAGCCACCUCUGGAGGGAUGCACCACUGAGCUGUGUCCCUGUCCUGUAUCUUCAGAUAGGUUCUCUGCCUUAACGGUUCUUCAUUUAAACUUUAAAUGCUGUUUAUACCCUGGGUUGUGGUGUGCCAUACCAGUAUAGUCGUAACUGUGCUCCUCACCUGGCUGCCUACCUCCUGGUAUUUCAAAACCAAGCUCUCCUCCUCAUCAUUUGUGGGCCAAUUAUUCACAGACUUUGCAAACCUGAUACACUAAACUCACCAACCAGGCAUUCUGGACGAAAAGGUGCUACGUUUGGAAAUCCUGCGUGGAAGUUGUGCUAGAACCAGCAGAAAGGCAGGUCCCGUGGGCCAGGUCUCUGCUUCCUGCAGGUCCCUUUGAACCGGGGCCAAAGCAGGGCUGUGUGGCACCUCCACAGAUCUCCCUGGUGCUGGGGUGCACAAAAUAUGGGACAGCGCUGAGCAGAGACCUCUGGAGCAGAUCUGCAGCCACGACAGACUCACACUGCCUGUGUGUCACUGCCUGUGUCGCUCCGUGAAGAUCUGUCCUGCUCUGCCUACAAGCGGUGCCAACUUUUUGGAAAUUAAAAGCAUUUCUAAUGGAGAAAUUGCAAGCACGGGAAACACUGUUCCACUGGAGCACCCAAAAUUUCUCCUGAGCUUUAUUUGCUCCACAGGGUUCAGAAUCCUUGCACGAAUAUGCAAUGAAAGUUUGAUCAUGACAUUUGGCUUUAACAAAAAGCCAUUGCAAGAAAAGCUCUUGCCAUCCAUUAGGCUGGUUGUCUAAUAUCUAGAACACUUUUACUUUCCCUUCAACAUGACUGACUGAUAGAACAAAUUGCACAAAUCUAAAAAUAUUUAAUCCUAGUAAAAGUUGUUCAAAGAAGCUGUCAAAUAAGUUCAGAUCCCAACACUGUAACUGCUGUCAGAUUUCAUGUACGAUAAGAGCUGACAUGUAUUUUUAGUCUUUUAAGUAACGAUUAUUCAUCAUUUUAGAGGUAUUUGCAGGAAAAAAAAAAAAAAAAAGGACUUCCAUCAGCAGUAAAAACUAUGG